UAAUAAUAAUUUAUGCACAAUAUAUAUAGCAUCAAUGUUAUCAGUACAAUUAAAAUAACAAACCGAUUUUAGUUCAAACAUGUUAAUUGGACCUGCUUAAAAUGUUUUAAAAAUGAUUACAUUUAAUGACGUUUACAUUUAGAACUGAACUAGGCCUAUACAGCCACCAAAACGUAUUGUAUUUUUAAUUUAACCAAUUUUAACAAAGGAAAAAUACUUUUUUGUCUUAUAGCCUAUUUAUUCUCUCGACUUAUUCUCGAGAGAGAGAAUAAGUGCGCAAACUCACACGCAGCCCACACUAAUCUUUCCACCCACGCGCACUGCGCGCCGCUGUGUUGACAGACAGAGCAAGCGGCACGUUUCUUUUAGAAUUAAGACGUUGUACUACACACGUCACAGCUGCCUGCAGGUGUCGUUACAUUUACUACAACAGUUCUUGCCCGAUAUGUAUUCGCGUUUUUGAGACAGAACUACACGAAUAUCUGUAUGUAAUCGGGGCUAGUUGUCAAGCAUUCACACCAGUAUAAUUCUAACCUUAAUCGGAAAGUAAACAAUAAGAUUUAGUAAACGAUACUGUCUCUUUCUUUCUAUGACUAGAAACCAUUAGGCAAUGUGUGUGAGCCAGAGGAAAGCGUCUCAGGUGAAUAGGGGAUUUGUCAGAGAGGUGUGUGAUUGUGUUUGCGUGAAGCAGUUUUCAGGGUCUUUCCUCUAAGACUGCCCUCAACGGUCAACAACGUCGAAAGUCGCCUACUUUAAGCGCAAAUAUGCGGAAGAGGAGGAUGUUCGGGGAAGCCUACAUGGAUAUUUACAAAAACACCUGAUCCUGCGUGAGGAGCGCAGCUGCAUCCUGCGCAUGUCUCUGCAGAAGCUGCGUUUCCUAGACGACCCUGAGGCUUACCUCCGUCGCUCCGUGCUCAUCAAUAACCUGCUACGCAAGAUCCACCUGGACGAAGCCCAGAGGGAGAGAGAGAAACAGAGAUAUGAAGAGGAAGAGGAGACGGAGUGGAGGCGGAAGAGACUGAAGGUGGUGCUCAAGGAGUUCCAGCAGUACAAGCUGCUGCCGUAUUCAUCUUCCCCAGCCUCAUGCAUCUGUGGCCUGGGCAGCUGCCACACCAUGCCCUCCUGAUCAUGGAGCUUCAAUGCUCCUCUACCAUUUGGAUGAUAAAGUAUAAGAUGUCAUCGUGCACAUGCAGGGGAUUAUUCCAACUGUCUACGACUGAUUUCCAGGAGCCAGCAUUAAGGAAGAAGGGGAUUCGGGUUUGUGUGCAUUUGAGCUUGUGCUGGUGAGCGUGCACUCUGAGGUUUGUUGAUGUGACAGGUGUUAUCCAUAUUAGGGUGUGUUUUUCCAACCGGAAAAAAAUAUCAUCCUGUUAUCACUGCCUCACUCUGUUGAUAUGAACUUUGACCACAGACAUUUUGUUUUCAUAAAUUUGCUUGAGUGAGCUAUAAUCCUAAGCAUUGUUUUCAGGGAUAAAAAAGGCAAACAAGAAGCCAUGCACCUUGUGGUUGUUAUUUUAUGUUUUUAGAAGAAAAAAAAAAGAGACGAAAAUUACAAUUUUAAGUGUCAAAGUCCCAGCUGUUCUUUAGGAUAGAGUGAUUUUAUUAAAGCUUUGUUGCAGUGAAAUUGACUUUUUUUGUGUAAGUGGCUAAUGAUGUCGAACUAGUAAUGAUUUUU